GCCCAUUGGCAGUGACGACCAAUCAGGGACAGCGGCCGGGCCGGGAGGCGGGGCUCGUGCUAACACAAAAGGCAGGAAAUAUGAGAUGUCGCCGUGACGCCACCAUGGCUACCUAGCCCCUCGCACCGCCAGGCUGCUGGGGGACAGACACGAACAGAGGCCUUCCAAACAGGGUCAGCUGAGAGAUGGAGUGCAGUGCCCUUGCGAGGCCCCUCAGAGAAGUACUCCUCCACCCCACCCAUCAGCAAAUCAAAAUCCCAUAAAGACCAGGGCAAAAGGAGGCCCCAGAGUAUUCUCUGUCUUUCUCUCCAUCUGUGUGCCUCUCUCCAGUAUUGGGAGAUAGAAUCCAGGGCUUCAUUCAUGCUAAUAAACAAGCACUCUACCACUGAACUACAUCCCCAGCCUU
rnacentral:lncRNA from 1 species